rnacentral:rRNA from 1 species
UACAGAGGUCUCAAGCGUUGUUCGGAUUCAUUGGGCGUAAAGGGUGCGUAGGUGGCAUGGUAAGUCGGAUGUGAAAUCCCGGGGCUCAACCCCGGAACUGCAUUCGAUACUGCUGAGCUAGAGUACUGGAGAAGGAGAUUGGAGUUUACGGUGGUAGCAGUGAAAUGCGUAGAUAAUCGUAAGGAAGACCAGUGGCGGAAGGCGGAUCUCUGGACAGUUACUGACACUGAGGC